CGGGGUGAGGUGCAGUUGGUGGCACGCCGCGCUUGGGACGCGGAGGCGGUGGGUUCGAAUCCCACGACCCCGACCA
rnacentral:tRNA from 1 species